AUAUGUGUCAUUCUUGCUAUGUUCUUUUUCUUUAGUUUCCUUAUUAAACUUGAUUGAUAUCCUCUUCCUUACUUACCAACUUCAAUAUCUGUCCAAUGUGAUUGCCGUUGGACUUGCAGGAUGUCAGGUUUUCACUGGACAACCUUCAGGAAUUAAAGCCUACUAUGUUUUGUGGGGUUCCUUGAGUUUAUGAUCAUAUAUACACUGGUAAAACAGAUUCAUCAAUUUGAACUGUAUAGAUGUAUGUCCUUGAAUUUCUUUGUUGUUAAUAUUUGGCUUAAAUAUUGUUAACAUGUCCUUGAAUUUCAUUGUUGUUAAUAUUUGGCUUAAAUAUUAUUUCCGAAGGUACUGCUAGUAAAGUUUCAUCUGGUGGUGUGCUUAGGUAGACCCUUUUCCAGUAUGCAUAUAACUACAAGUUGGCAAAUCUGGAGAAGGGUUUGCCACAAGAAAAAGCGGCACCUCUCUUGGACAAGCUUGUAUUUAACUAG